GCCCUCAGCGCUGUCAGCCCAGCCUUCUCGCCCCGCCUCACAGGGUCUCUGGGGAACUUGGUUUUGUGGAGCUCAGGUGGCAAAACCAAUGUCCUUGUUUGUCCACAUGCCGUUUGCCUUUGGUCCCGCUCCUAAGUCUGUUCUGACCGCCUUCCUCCCCCCCUGGCAGCGCCAGGCGUUAAAGGAAGCAGAGGAAGUGGUGACAGAGGCGUUACUGCCCACCACGAGCCCUGAUUGAGGUCGACAGCAGACCCCAGGACUCCAAGACGGUGGCAGCCGUUCCCGUGAAGGAGAAGAACUCACAGAUGUCCAGACAGGGGAGCUGCCACGCAGGAUGCUGAUGCGGGACUUCACCCGAGAGACACUGUUGGAACGUCUCAAAGACGUGACUGCUGGUGUUACAACAGGACUCAAGCAUUUCAGCAGCAGUUUGGCCUUGAAUUUAGUUUCCUUGCACCUGAAUGGAUCAUGCUCAUCAUAAGAAGCCAAACUAUUACCAGCUAAGAGGACUCUCUGCUCUCCCUGACCUCUGUAAGGUUCUUCCCUAAGGAGGAUGGGAACGAACUGGCUCCAAUUUCCAGGUGGGCUAAGCCGGAGCAGCUGUAAUCUAGUGGGGACUUCCACUGGGGCCCAAAUUCAGAUGCCUCCCUUCUGCAACCUCACCUCCGAGGCUCAGCUCUGCAGAGUCAAGAGCAAGACGGGGCUCCAGAGAGGCUCCGGAGUCUCUGAGAUUGGAAAGCGCCUUGUUCCAGGUGCUGAGGGGCUGGGUACUGUGUACUCAGCCUGCCCCUUCAUGGGCCUGGGGCAAGAACCAGUGUGGCCAGCUCAACCUUUCCCUUUCCCUGGGGUAUCAGGUGGUCCUAGGGCCAGAAGAGAAAGUAAGGAUGAAGAACAGUGCACCACGCCCACCACCACCAGUUCCUGCUCAGGAAAGAAUGUCAGCAUCAAGUCACAUGGCUUUCAGAGGCAAAGGUGGGCCGUGGGAAAAGUGCCAGAGUGGAACAUCCCCGAAUUUAGGGAAAGUAUAGACCUGGAUUUGGAGCCUAGCCCUGCAAUUUGCUAGCUGAGUCGCAUGAGUUAAUCCCCUUGAUCUCUUUAAGUUUCAGUUUCUGUUUUGUAAAAGUAAGACCAUAUUUUGCUAAGUUGUUUAUAGAAUAAAAUAAACUAAUGUGUGAGGAGAAAGUCCAUCACAGGGUAUGACACAGAGUAGGUACCAAAUGAAUGUUAACUUCUUCCUUAUAGCAUCUUUUCAUCCUAUAUGAUAUGAUUGGGGCAAUACCACUGAGUGAUUUUCCCUCACAUAAUCCCUUCUUCCAGCUAGUUGAAGUUCUGUUAAUUCCAUCUCUUAUUCUUUGGGCUAAGGCACUCUCCCUUAAAUACACUUUUGAAAGCUUUCUUCUGUCUGUGUCUGAGCAGAAAUCUGCCUCUCACAGACCUGGCAGGGCCUGUGGGACUUGUUAAGCACAAUUCAGAUGGGGAGGGUGGAGGAAAGCAGCCCAAGGGUAUGCCCUGGAGUGCAGACAGAAGACAGGAACCCCGGGACAGUCUGGGUGACACAUCGCUCUCCCUUGGGAAAUGUCCAUCACACAGGCUGUCUAAUCUCCCUUUGAGGCAAAUGGAGACCUGGGAGUUCUGAAGGCUUUGUAUAGAUUGUGAAGAUGAUGGUAUUAUCUGCCUACAGGUGGGGAAUAUGGGACUGAAGGGGUCAGCUUGGGGAGCAGUUGAACCCCAAAUCUAGGCCAGCUACUGAAACAAGUCAUCAGUUUGAAAGGGCAAGUCAGAAACGGGGAGUGCAGGUGGAAGACCAAGGGACAGUAUCCAGGGAAGCCAGAGGUGAAGGUUCAAAGCCAAGGCAGGUGAUGGGGACCGCUGUGCCUCAAGACGUUAGUGGCAGAGGUGUUUCCCAAAGUGCCUGCCUCGGGCAGGAGCAGUGAUGGCCAGGCUAGGAUUUUCUCUGCCACCCACCAUCCGCCUUGAGUUCCCACCUCCCUGAUUAGUUCUAACCCCUUUUCUGGUUUCUCACUAGGGGUGGGGAAACAUGAUUACUGAAGCGCAGACUCCAAACCCCAGCUCCUCCUUCCCCCUUUGAAGCGUGAGUGAAGGAUCCACUACCACACAUACCGAGGAAUGAAGGCCACAUUCGUAAGCAUUAGAUCAACGCUUCCGGAAACCUCUUUACUGCUUUGGAAUAGCUGCUCGUGGUAUCGCGGGAGCCAAGAGCCUUACAUAGAGCAGCUGGGACACUCUGGCUUGGAGGGCUAGCCCCCAGGAGCAUUAUCUCCCACAAGAAUCAGUCUUUUGAAGGAUUAGGCAUUUUCAUCACCAGGGGGACUGAGCUAGCACAAGGACUACCUUGGUCUCUUCCUGGGGUGGGGGAUCAUAAUUCCAUAGACUAUGACUCUGGUCCUGUGUAUGGGGCCGUAGGCAUUAUGCUCUGUAUGAUUGAAUGUGUG